UGCCAGCAGCCGCGGUAAUACGGAGGGAGCUAGCGUUGUUCGGAAUUACUGGGCGUAAAGCGCGCGUAGGCGGACUUUCAAGUCAGGGGUGAAAUCCCGAGGCUCAACCUCGGAACUGCCUUUGAUACUGAUAGUCUUGAGUCCGAGAGAGGUGAGUGGAAUUCCUAGUGUAGAGGUGAAAUUCGUAGAUAUUAGGAAGAACACCAGUGGCGAAGGCGGCUCACUGGCUCGGUACUGACGCUGAGGCGCGAAAGCGUGGGGAGCAAACAGGAUUAGAUA
rnacentral:rRNA from 1 species